rnacentral:rRNA from 1 species
GACGAACGCUGGCGGCGUGCUUAACACAUGCAAGUCGAACGGAAAGGCCCUGCUUGCAGGGUACUCGAGUGGCGAACGGGUGAGUAACACGUGGGUGAUCUGCCCUGCACUUCGGGAUAAGCCUGGGAAACUGGGUCUAAUACCGGAUAGGAGCCAUUUUUAGUGUGAUGGUUGGAAAGUUUUUUCGGUGUAGGAUGAGCUCGCGGCCUAUCAGCUUGUUGGUGGGGUAAUGGCCUACCAAGGCGGCGACGGGUAGCCGGCCUGGGAGGGUGGACGGCCACAUUGGGACUGAGAUACGGCCCAGACUCCUACGGGAGGCAGCAGGGGGGAAUAUUGCACAAUGGGCGCAAGCCUGAUGCAGCGACGCCGCGGGGGGGAUGACGGCCUUCGGGUUGUAAACUCCUUUCGCUAGGGACGAAGCUUUUUGUGACGGUACCUAGAUAAGAAGCACCGGCUAACUACGUG